AUUGAACGCUGGCGGCAUGCCUAACACAUGCAAGUCGAACGGAGAUAGGGGCAACCUUAUUUCAGUGGCGGACGGGUGAGGAAUGCGUCGGAAUCUGCCCUAUGGUGGGGGAUAACACAGGGAAACUUGUGCUAAUACCGCAUAAUGUCGAGAGACCAAAGCAGGGGACCGCAAGGCCUUGCGCGAUAGGAUGAGCCGACGCCCGAUUAGCUUGUUGGUAGGGUAAUGGCCUACCAAGGCGACGAUCGGUAGCUGGUCUGAGAGGAUGAUCAGCCACACUGGGACUGAGACACGGCCCAGACUCCUACGGGAGGCAGCAGUGGGGAAUAUUGGACAAUGGGCGCAAGCCUGAUCCAGCAAUGCCGCGUGUGUGAAGAAGGCCUGC
rnacentral:rRNA from 1 species